CAAGGUUGGAGACCCCCGGAAUAGAAGAUAGAAAACAGUAGUAGUAUAAAAUAAAGGUUUGAAAAAUUGCAUCCAUGAUUUUUAUUUCAUGCAUAUGUCGAAGUGGGUGAAUAUAAGAUGUUUGCCUUAUUUAUUAAAUUUGUUGGCUGCCCAUCUCGCCACAAGGUCACUUUUAUAGUAAUGCAGAGUUGUGAAACUCGCGGCCGCAGGCCAGAUUUGUUACGCACUGGCCACACCCAGUUUAGCAAAGGGGAAAAAAGUCAUGAUACGUCAUGUGAUGACACCGUGACGAUGCAGGUUUGACACCCCUGCAGUAAUGCAUUGAAUUGGAUUAAGUUUUCUUGAUAUUAAGAGAGCUCUGUUAUUCUCUGGUGGCAAAAAAAUCAGAAGUCUGGUAGCACUUUUUUCCACCAACAUUUUAUUAAAAGGCAUCUGUGCAUCUGAUGAAGCAAGCUAUAACUGGUGAAACCUUGCACCUUUUCAUAAAAUAUACAAGUAAGAAACAGUGAUACCAGACUUGAUGUUUUGGUAUAAAAUGAGCUCUUGAAUCAAGUUUACAGUUACACCACCAGGCACUAGAUGGCGACUGAUAACCUGAUACCAGCUGAAGGAAGUAUAUUACUUCUGGUUGAUAGGCUGAACUCAGAGCAAAAAUGCAGUAGGGUAUGCUGUUACAUGUUUCAAAUGUGUGGCUGCUACGGUAGUUUAAUAUGCUUUAUUGUAAACCAGACACAGAAUUGCAAUUUACUUUCCACAUUUUGAUCUCCAACUUAAUGUAUAUUGCUCAUUUUUUCAAGCACAGCACAACUUUUUUAGCUGCUAUGGGGUGUCCCUUUCACAUUCAUUACACAUAAUUUUAGAGUGCCUGUCCUGCCUUAAAUAUGUUCUAUUUUUACUUACUUAUUGCAGGCUAAGUUAAGGUAAGGAAGAUUAUCUUGGUUUCACCACUGGCAGGAAAGCAAUCAAUAAUCACUCUUCUUAAAAUAGGAUAGGACAAGUUUAGAUGAUGCUUAGAGGUGUCUGUCUCACCAUCACUGAAGUUGGUGGAUUAAGAACAGGAGCUGAGGGAAUUUAGUGAAGUCUCUGAGAUGCCUCUGCUUGCAACAACCUUUCUGUGUCUCUUACCUGCUGGGCUAUUUCUGAACUAGGGAUAUAAUGUUCUAUGGAAAGUGUGCUAAAGAUAAGAGGCUUAUUUCUCGUUCGUGAAUUAUUUGAUUUAAUAGUUUAACAGACUGAAGCUUCAAAGGAAACUAAUAUGUUGAUUUUAAAGUUUUGUCCCUGAACUUAAAAGGGCAAGUAUGAAUAUAUAAACAAAUCUACUCCUUCAUUGGGUCCAAGGUUUGCCUACAGAUGCUUGAAACUGCUUGUCUGAUUCCCUAUCUCUCUACAUAAAGGGGCCAUUGCUACUGGGAUAAGAGGAAACACUAUUUCAGAAGUGAAACAGCUGAGCACAAUUUUAAGCAGCCUCAGAUACUGGCUGGGAAUUGCCCAAAGGGAAUGUAAACCUGGUAGAAAAGAGAUUUAUCUGACAUGUUUGUGUCACAGAUACAGGAAGUACUGUAAGGAAGAACCACAUAUCCAUGUAAUGUUCUAAUUGCUGUCUUGAUAUAAACAUAAAAAAUGUUUAGGUAAGUCUGCAGAAGAGGUUAACAAAAGUCAAGAGGAUGAUCGCUGCCAGGAGAUGGAAACAUCAUCUGUGUUUUUUAGACACAGGUUUUGAUUGCAAGGUCAUGACCAUCUUGAUAUUUUUCACACCCUCCUUCCCAGGCCCCUGCAAAGGGCCCUAGCUCUGAUGUUCUCGGUAAUAGGGCUAUGCAGAGCUUUGAAAUCUAUUCCAAUUCUACAGCUUUUAAAAGCGGCUCUGUCUCUUCCUAGGGUUCCAUAGCUGUUCCCAAGAAAGGGUGAGGCUGCUUUAAAGCAAGGCAGAUAGGUCUUACGUUAAUGUUCCAGAGCACCUUUUAUGAAGUACAUCUGAAGCACCGCCAUAAGUGCUGAGAUGCCAAUAACCUUUUACAGUGUUGUAGAAUUGAAUCUACAGCUCAAAGCUAGAGGGAACUUUUGAUGAAUUCGCAUUCCAUUGUUCUCAGUACUCAUGAAAGGCUCACAAUGUUCUCAUUCUCAAGGGUUCCCUCUGCAUAAACCUAAAAUGAGGAAGAGAAAAUAUGGCUUGCAUGUAAAUCACAUCCUGCCCACUGGCUGCCUUAACCACAUCAAGAGCAGAUGUCAUUCCAUUAAAGAGAAUAGGAAGUGUACAUGACCUUGUAUGGAAUAACUUGAGAAAAAAACUGGGGUUUUUUUAGGAUGUAAACUUGUCAUAUCUUUGAAAAUAAGGGAGUUUCUGCAAGAUGACAUCUGAUUUGACAUAACAGGAGUGAUUAACUGCUGACACAUUAGACUCAUACAGAUGUAGGUGCCUGGAGAUCACUUCUCUUUUUUUCUGGACCAGGGUUAUAAAAGAGGAUGCUGCGACCAUCGGAGCAACGAGUCAGACUAUUUUUACACAGUACGUAGUGCAUACAGAGGAUUUCCAUCCUGUUUCUUCAGAUUGACCCUCCCAAGUCUUCGCAGACUGACCCUCCCAAGUCUUCGCCUUCCAGCAUAAGCUCCCGGGAGCAUCAAUUCCUUGUCUAUGUUGCAAAGCGAUUCUUCUAGAUCUCGCUAGUAUACAUUCUGCUCCCAUGGGUAGAGGCCACUCCCAGCUGAAGAACCAAAGUAGAUAUUAUAAUAUCACAAGGAUACAUGCUUCGAUUCCCUUCAUUUUGCUGGUCUUCUCCAACUGUUCAUUGUACAGCUAAAUACCUUCUCUCUGAUGGUUCUCCCAAGAACAAUUCAGCAAAAAAGAAUGCAAAGCCACCUUAAUUUUGAAAUCAACAUUUUCCUCCAAUAAGGAAAUCCCAUCAUACAUUUCUUCUCUGAAGACUUAAGAAUGGAAUCAGGUCUGUCCAAGAAAUUUCAUUCUAUAAAACAGAGCAACAUUUGUGCAAGGAAGAGAAAGCCCACUACAUAAAUAUUGGACCUCAGUUUUGUUUUUUUUUGGCGGCUCAGGCUGUAAGAUAGCCUGUUAUUAAAAACACAGCAGCCUGCAAUUACUGCAGGCUCGAAUCCCACCAGGCCCAAGGUUGACUCAGCCUUCCAUCCUUUAUAAGGUAGGUAAAAUGAGGACCCAGAUUGUUGGGGGGCAAUAAAUUGACUUUGUAAAUAUACAAAUAGAAUGAGACUAUUGCCUUACACACUGUAAGCCGCCCUGAGUCUUCGGAGAAGGGCGGGAUAUAAAUGUAAAUUUUUUAAAAAAAAUUAAUAUAAAAUGUUUAUAUUAAAGAUUAAAAAUUUUUAAUACAAGCAUAUGUACUGUGGUAUAAAGGUAAUCUACAAGUAUACAAGGUAUACUUGGAAAUUCAAAUUAAAGAAGAUUUAUUUCAUUUUUGGAGUAUUCCGCUAAGUAAUAGAAGAAAAAAGUUCAUUUGGAAUAAGACACAGAAGGAAGUCCAUAGCAAUGUUACAAAUGAAGAUAAUUCAGCUGAUGUGGAGCACUGUAGCUGAAGAAAAUGAAAAUGUUCUCAAUCUCUGCAGUUCAGUGUGUCAUGGUUGGGAGAUACUCAAUUCUCUCGUAAAACAAGAGAACUCUUAUCAAUUCAGGUACACUUUUAUUUCUGAUAU